rnacentral:lncRNA from 1 species
AGAUUGGGGUUGUUGGGAAAGUUGAGAAAAGAAAAAGCUAGGCAUUGAGCUAACGUGUUGAAUGAAAAUGCACGAGAAAAGAAAGGAAAGAUAGAAAAGAUAAGCAUGAAAAGAAAAGCUCAAUGCAAAAGAAAAAGGAAAGUUGGGAAUGAGUGAGAUUGGUGAAAAAGAGAUUUUGUGCUUGAACUAUGAUUGUUUGAAUAACUCUCUUAACUCAAGGAUUUUGUAAUCUAGAAAAACCAAUUUUUCUUGUUAGCCCAACCUCAUUAUAAGCCUUGAAAAGUCCUUGUGAUGGCAGGUAAAUGAAUGACAAUCUUGUUUUAUGUGACGUAUAGAUAGUAAGAGGGAAGGAGUGACAUCAUGAAACACUUGAGUGACUGAGAUAAACACCUUAUCUGGUGAGGAUUGAUUCCAUGAAUUCAUAAUUACACUUGUGCUUAGUUGAUUGAUCAUUCAUAAGA